ensembl:rRNA 5S_rRNA 5S ribosomal RNA
CCUUACGGCCAUACCACCUUAGGCACGCCCGAUCUCGUCUGAUCUCGGAAGCUAAGCAGGGUCGGGCCUGGUUAGUACCUGGAUGGGUGACCGCCUGGGAAUACCAGGUGCUGUAAGCA